rnacentral:rRNA from 1 species
CGGACGGGUGAGUAACGCGUGGGUAACCUGCCUUACACAGGGGGAUAACACUUAGAAAUAGGUGCUAAUACCGCAUGAGCGCACAGGACCGCAUGGUCGAGUGUGAAAAACUGAGGUGGUGUAAGAUGGACCCGCGUCUGAUUAGCUAGUUGGUGAGGUAACGGCCCACCAAGGCGACGAUCAGUAGCCGGCCUGAGAGGGUGGACGGCCACAUUGGGACUGAGACACGGCCCAAACUCCUACGGAAGGCAGCAG